GUGCCAGCCGCCGCGGUAAUACGUAGGUGGCAAGCGUUGUCCGGAUUUAUUGGGUUUAAAGGGUGCGUAGGCGGUCUAUUAAGUCAGUUGUGAAAUACGGCAGCUCAACUGUCGAGGUGCAAUUGAUACUGAUGGACUUGAGUACUGAUGAGGUAAGCGGAAUGGACGGUGUAGCGGUGAAAUGCUUAGAUAUCGUCCAGAACACCGAUAGCGAAGGCAGCUUACUAAGGAGUAACUGACGCUGAGGCACGAAAGUGUGGGGAUCAAACAGGAUUAGAUACCCGCGUAGUCC
rnacentral:rRNA from 1 species